CUGAACAAACUCUUCUAUUGACUCCAGUUAGACCAACAUUGAUGCUUCAUAUGUUUGAUUUUAUGCAAACUCAGUGACCUUCCUUGUUUCUCAGCUAUAAAAACAUCACAUCAGGCUGUCAGUGGAGUUCACAGCACGUCAGUUUCAACAUAAACCAUGUUCUCUGGAGCUCUGCUGCUGCUGUUGGCAGCUGGAUGUGUGAAGUGUGAACAGUUGACCCAGCCAGCCUCUGUGACUGUGCAGCCAGGUCAACGUCUGACCAUCACCUGUCAGGUCUCUUAUUCUCUCAGCAGCUACUACACAGCUUGGAUCAGACAGCCUGCAGGGAAAGGACUGGAGUGGAUUAGUAGUGAUACAAACGUCAAAGAUUCACUGAAGAACAAGUUCAGUGUAAACAUGGAAUCUUCCAGCAAGACAGUGACUCUAAAUGGACAGAAUGUGCAGCCUGAAGACACUGCUGUGUAUUACUGUGCCAGAGAGCCACAGUAACACAAACCAUCAGUAGACCUGAACAAAAACCCCUCAGAGCCUGAACACUUGUAACAUGAAGCCACCAGAGGAGGAGCCCUCAGACCACUAAAGGUUUCAACACCAGCUUACUGUUACAGUAAACAGA